AUCCUCCAAGGCUAAAUACUCCUGAUUGACCGAUAGUGAACCAGUACCGUGAGGGAAAGGCGAAAAGAACCCCGGCGAGGGGAGUGAAAAAGAACCUGAAACCGUGUACGUACAAGCAGUAGGAGCCUCUUUAUGGGGUGACUGCGUACCUUUUGUAUAAUGGGUCAGCGACUUAUAUUCUGUAGCGAGGUUAACCGUAUAGGGGAGCCGUAGGGAAACCGAGUCUUAACUGGGCGAAUGAGUUGCAGGGUAUAGACCCGAAACCCGGUGAUCUAUCCAUGGGCAGGUUGAAGGUUGGGUAACACUAACUGGAGGACCGAACCGA
rnacentral:rRNA from 1 species